UACGGAGGGUGCAAGCGUUAUCCGGAUUCACUGGUUUAAAGGGUGCGUAGGAGGGCAGGGAAGUCCGUGGUGAAAUCUCCGAGCUUAACUCGGAAACUGCCGUGGAUACUCUCUGUCUUGAAUCCGUGGAGAUGAGCGGAAUAUGUCAUGUAGCGGUGAAAUGCUUAGAUAUGACAUAGAACACCAAUUGCGAAGGCAGCUCGUUACACGAAGAUUGACUCUGAGGCACGAAAGCGUGGGAUCAAACAGG
rnacentral:rRNA from 1 species